ACUGUCUGUUCUUUCUCUCUCUCUGUUGUCUAUCAAACUUUCACUGAUUUUCUGUAAUUCCAGAAAUAAGUCUAUCCAGUGAUUUCAUAACUGGUUUCUGUGGUGAGACAGAGGCAGCUCAUCAUGACACUGUCUCCUUGAUGAAAGAGGUCUGCUACAACUUUGCCUUCACUUUCCCAUACAGUAUGAGGCAGAAAACCCGUGCUCACCAUCGACUCAUUGAUGAUGUUCCCAGUGAGAUUAAAGCCAGGAGACAGACUGAACUGGCAGAGACAUUUCGCAAAGGAGCUUUAGAACUGAACACAGAGCAGAUUGGGCAGUUACAAAUUGUUCUCAUCAGUGGAAUGAGUAAGCGGUCUCAACUGGAUCUUGCUGGCCGGAAUGAUGGCAACACAAAAGUUAUUGUACCACAGACCAAAAUACCAAUUUCUGAUGAAGCAGAGCCAACAAGAACAAUAGAAGUGGGUGACUACAUUGUUGUUCGAGUUCUAUAUGAAAGUAGUUCACCAUCUUUCAACUGAGCGUAUGUUUCUGCCCCCUGCUGAAGGACAAAUUCAACAGUGGAGGCAAAGAGAUCACACUUGAUUUUCUUGUUUAGCCCAGAAAUUCAUAUUUUACUUAUGUCAUGCAGAAUUUACCAGCUGCUUACAUCACUGUUGUUGGUGUUGAAGAUCAAUAUAACCGGUGCCUCUUCUCAAGUGCUGAAAGGUGAACCUCUCUACCACACAACUUUGGUAAACUUCAGCCGAAAACAUACCCUCAAAUGAGUCCAAUAUUGCUACAGUUAAUUGGUCGUUUGCUUGAGUAAUGGGAGUGAAAUCUACAUUUCAGCCUCAUCAAUUUGCAGUCCACUUUCAACUGUCGGUGACUAACAUCAGCUGCAACUAUGAAAAUAUCCAACUAACAAUCAACCUGCAAGAGAACACAACUAAAUCUUUCUCAAGUCAACCCUACCAUCUUAAAACAAAGCAUUAAAUUGUAUAACUUAGAAUACAAUAAAAAGCAGUGAGAAAGAUGAUACCUGCAAAGCCCAAAGAAUGUGAAAGAGUCCUGUACUGCCUCAGAUUGGCUUUAUUUGGAAGAACUAUGGCCUAGGAUUGAACAACAAUGAAAAUAAUUUAUAAUAUACAAAAUAAAGCUAAAUAAACAUCACAUUUAUUAUCACAAUAUCA
rnacentral:misc_RNA from 1 species